rnacentral:rRNA from 1 species
GACGAACGCUGGCGGCGUGCUUAACACAUGCAAGUCGAACGGAAAGACCCUGCUUUUGUGGGGUGCUCGAGUGGCGAACGGGGGAGUAACACGUGAGUAACCUGCCCUUGACUUUGGGAUAACUUCAGGAAACUGGGGCUAAUACCGGAUAGGAGCUACUGCUCCAUGGGGGGGGUUGGAAAGUUUCGGCGGUUCGGGAUGGACUCGCGGCUUAUCAGCUUGUUGGUGGGGUAGUGGUUUACCAAGCCUUUGACGGGUAGCCGGCCUGAGAGGGUGACCGGCCACCUUGGGCCUGAGAGACGGCCCAGACUCGUACGGGAGGCAGCAGUGGGGAAUAUUGCACAAUGGGCGGAAGCCUGAUGCAGCAACGCCGCGUGCGGGAUGACGGCCUUCGGGUUGUAAACCGCUUUGGCCUGUGACGAAGCGUGAGUGACGGUAAUGGGUAAAGAAGCACCGGCUAACUACGUG